GCAGAGUAGGCUUAUGUGCGUUAAGUGCCGGCUGAACAGGGAGUUGUCAGCUGGACGAAAGGGACAAGGGGGUCCUUGUUACCUGCGGUACAUAGGCCGCAUCCCGCUGC
rnacentral:ncRNA from 1 species